UACAGAGGGGGCAAGCGUUGUUCGGAAUUACUGGGCGUAAAGGGCGCGUAGGCGGCCUUCUAAGUCGAACGUGAAAUCCCCGGGCUCAACCCGGGAACUGCGUCCGAUACUGGAAGGCUUGAAUCCGGGAGAGGGAUGCGGAAUUCCAGGUGUAGCGGUGAAAUGCGUAGAUAUCUGGAGGAACACCGGUGGCGAAGGCAGCCCCCUGGGUCAAGAUUGACGCUCAUGCACGAAAGCGUGGGGAGCAAACAGG
rnacentral:rRNA from 1 species